rnacentral:rRNA from 1 species
GCAUGUUCACAUGAUUAAAGGUAUUCCGGUAGACGAUGGGGAUGCGUUCCAUUAGAUAGUAGGCGGGGUAACGGCCCACCUAGUCUUCGAUGGAUAGGGGUUCUGAGAGGAAGGUCCCCCACAUUGGAACUGAGACACGGUCCAAACUCCUACAGGAGGCAGCAGUGAGGAAUAUUGGUCAAUGGGCGAGAGCCUGAACCAGCCAAGUAGCGUGAAGGAUGACUGCCCUAUGGGUUGUAAACUUCUUUUAUAAAGGAAUAAAGUCGGGUAUGCAUACCUGUUUGCAUGUACUUUAUGAAUAAGGAUCGGCUAACUCCGUGCCAGCAGCCGCGGUAAUACGGAGGAUCCGAGCGUUAUCCGGAUUUAUUGGGUUUAAAGGGAGCGUAGAUGGAUGUUUAAGUCAGUUGUGAAAGUUUGCGGCUCAACCGUAAAAUUGCAGUUGAUACUGGAUAUCUUGAGUGCAGUUGAGGCAGGCGGAAUUCGUGGUGUAGCGGUGAAAUGCUUAGAUAUCACGAAGAACUCCGAUUGCGAAGGCAGCCUGCUAAGCUGCAACUGACAUUGAGGCUCGAAAGUGUGGGUAUCAAACAGGAUUAGAUACCCUGGUAGUCCACACGGUAAACGAUGAAUACUCGCUGUUUGCGAUAUACAGCAAGCGGCC